UAGGCGGAGUCUCGGGGUGGCGGGGGCUGGGCACCCAGGCGUGGCUCCGCCCCUCAGGUAAGGGCUCGGUGGCGCGAGCCCCUCACCUGGCGGCGGCCCGACAGACGGCCUGGGACCCCAGGGUCAGGUUCUCUUGGCAAGGGAUGUCUCCAGAGAGGACUGAGGAGCCACUGUUGGUCCGCGCGCGCCCCGGACUGCGCUCCUUGCAAAGCCUUCUCAAUGGUUUGGAAUAGACACUGCUAACAAGAGUAUUAGUAGUAAACUAAGAAGAACAGAGAAAUUGAAUGAAAAGUGAGAACAUGGAGAGAGGCAAAAUGUGGAGGGCAAAGACCACAGCUCUUUGGAACACUGAUCAGAAACUUGGACUUGACAGCCCUGAAACCCUCUAGAGAACUAAGCAGCAUGGCUACUCCUGAUGGACAUUACCACAAGCAUUGGCUCAUAUUUCGUGGUUCUAUUAUGUAGAUUGAGUAGCAUCUUGAACCUGCCAUGUUCCAUUAUACUGCAUGUGCCACAUGCUGAGAAUUGCUUUAAAAAAAUCACUAUCAACUCAUCAUUUGCAUGUCUUUAUAAAAGGAUCCAGAUGCAUUACUGUGAUUUGAACUUUACAGUUGCUUAGAACCUGAAUAAAUAGAAAUAAAUAGGAAUUACUGUGCCACGCUUAAAUUUCUUUAUUGAUUUUUCUUUGAAAAACUUAAGUUGUAGGCAAAAGACCUGUCACGUAAUUGCAAGAGCUAAUGAAUUAAACUCAUCUGCACUUGAUUCACAACAUGUCUCAA